rnacentral:rRNA from 1 species
AUUGAACGCUGGCGGCAGGCCUAACACAUGCAAGUCGAACGGUAACAGGAAGAAGCUUGCUUCUUUGCUGACGAGUGGCGGACGGGUGAGUAAUGUCUGGGAAACUGCCUGAUGGAGGGGGAUAACUACUGGAAACGGUAGCUAAUACCGCAUAACGUCGCAAGACCAAAGAGGGGGACCUACGGGCCUCUUGCCAUCGGAUGUGCCCAGAUGGGAUUAGCUAGUAGGUGGGGUAACGGCUCACCUAGGCGACGAUCCCUAGCUGGUCUGAGAGGAUGACCAGCCACACUGGAACUGAGACACGGUCCAGACUCCUACGGGAGGCAGCAGUGGGGAAUAUUGCACAAUGGGCGCAAGCCUGAUGCAGCCAUGCCGCGUGUAUGAAGAAGGCCUUCGGGUUGUAAAGUACUUUCAGCGGGGAGGAAGGGAGUAAAGUUAAUACCUUUACUCAUUGACGUUACCCGCAGAAGAAGCACCGGCUAACUCCGUG